rnacentral:rRNA from 1 species
AGUAAUGUAUGGGGAUCUGCCUGAUGGCGGGGGAUAACUACUGGAAACGGUAGCUAAUACCGCAUAAUGUCUGCGGACCAAAGCGGGGGGACCUCCGGGCCUCGCGCCAUCAGAUGAACCCAUAUGGGAUUAGCUAGUAGGUGAGGUAACGGCUUACCUAGGCGACGAUCCCUAGCUGGUCUGAGAGGAUGAUCAGCCACACUGGGACUGAGACACGGUCCAG